AUAUAUCAUAAAUCAAAAGAACUGAAAUAAAUUUAAAUAUUAUAAAGCCUCACUGUAGGUUAAAUAACAAUGUAAACACAUUCUUUCUAUACUAUUGAUGUG